UCUGCUUCCAUAUUUAUUUAUACACUGUCACUAAGUAUACUGUAACGUGCAUAGCUCAGAGCAAGAUUGGACUGUGAAAUUCUUAUAAAAACCCUAACGUAGCAUCUGGGCAGAGUCCAUCACAAGUUAAAAUAUCACCAUGACUCAGAAAAUAAAACCUUCCCUUGCUCAACAGAAAUACAACCUUAAACAGUUUUCACAGAUAUGCUCCAGAUUGCGGAUAUUUUGGUCUGUCUCUGUAUGGUAAUUCCUAAUGUUCCACUGAGUCCAGGUUCUUGCCUACAUGAAUGAUCCAGUGUAGAUGCUUUGGAAGAAGACAUGUUCCUGCCAUAAAAGGCAUCUAAUUAUGACCUGCUAAAUAGAUACAGUAUUGACUAUCAUAUAGUUACAAGCCAAUUGAAUUUGCUGCUGGCAGUUGAAAGAAAUUGGAGAGGAGACAAUGAAGCAGAGGGACCGGGACUCCCCCACUGUGAUUCAAGAUGGACUCGAGGGGAACGCCUCAAGACCUAAGGUUGAGGAGGACCAGGGAAGGAAUUCUACCUGAUCAACACAUCGAAGAACUACUCAACACAGCUCACAAAGACACUCUCAUGGACAGAGAGGGACAGCCUUCCAUCUUCAGCUCCCUCUUUGCAAAAAUGAAGUUUAUUUCCUACCUAUGGGAACUUUUUACCAUCUUGUUACCAUCUACACUUUUCCCAGAGCCUGACGAAGGGACUUUGAUCCCAAAAGCUUGCAGAAAAGGACAAUUUUCUUGCCAUUUUCCAGUUGGUCUAAUAAAAGGCUUUUUUUUUCAUCUUUUUUAUGUUUUUGUCAACAGCAUCAACUUACUUUUCUAUGGUUUUCUACUGUGAAUACCAUGCUAUUAUCCUGAACAGAGAAAGUGCUUUGGCUCUGCCAGAAGUUUAACAGAAAAGGAGGAUCCUGUCAUCCUAACUUUCCACCCAUCACAGCUUGAUGUUUCUAUCUGAGCUUGUUUAGUUCCAAUUUUUGACCAGCUGCAUCAGUUGAACUGUGAAAGGCAGACUGAUUGUUUCUAAUUAUUGUUUCAAUAGUCAGGGUAGCUUUGCUUUGUUGUCAGGACCCUCUUGUGCCUUCCUAAAGCUGUGAGAUAGGACAGUGUGGUAAUUAGUGGAGGUGAAACAACUUUUUUGAUUGAAUAUUUCACAGCUGUAAACAAUGCCCAGCUAGUGUCCAGUCUGUUUAUUCGAUUACUCCAGAAAGUGUAAACUGUGAAGAUUCUAUGCAUGCAGAGAGAUUGUUGGCCACCUGAUGGGGCGAGAGAAGAUAGUUAUUUCUCAUAAUUGUGACUUGUUUGAAAAGGUAGUAUAAUUGAGUUACUCUGACCUACUAAAAGGAAUGGAGAUGAUGAGAAUUAUUUUAAUCUAUAAUGUUGCUUUGUAAUGCGCUUGUAAGCUCUGAACUUCAAGGAGACCUUUAUAUUCAAGGUAAAUUUCCAGUGCUCUGCCUUGUGGGAAUUACCAUUCAUAGUUUGUGAGAGUGUAUCGUGCUACUACUCUGGCAAGUCACAUAUUGGCUGGCAUUGCAUAGGUAGUAAAAACUUCCAAUGGUAGUAACUACUUUUGGAGAACAUUGAUUGUUUGAAUGCUGCAGAUAAAUGUGAACUGAAAAACAUGUGUAAUGAAUUUAUAGGAUUAUUUUUUUCCUUAAUUUAAUUUCUUGUGUCUGGCUUUCUCUAUUCCUAUGCUAUUUCUAAAAUUGUAACAAAUUCAAUGUAAAACAUUUCUAAUAAAACUUGUAGCUUAAGUUAGGCAU